rnacentral:rRNA from 1 species
AACGAACGCUGGCGGCAUGCCUAACACAUGCAAGUCGAACGAUGGCUUCGGCCAUAGUGGCGCACGGGUGCGUAACGCGUGGGAAUCUGCCCUUAGGUUCGGAAUAACAGAGAGAAAUUUCUGCUAAUACCGGAUGAUGACGUAAGUCCAAAGAUUUAUCGCCUAAGGAUGAGCCCGCGUAGGAUUAGCUUGUUGGUGAGGUAAAGGCUCACCAAGGCGACGAUCCUUAGCUGGUCUGAGAGGAUGAUCAGCCACACUGGGACUGAGACACGGCCCAGACUCCUACGGGAGGCAGCAGUGGGGAAUAUUGGACAAUGGGCGAAAGCCUGAUCCAGCAAUGCCGCGUGAGUGAUGAAGGCCCUAGGGUUGUAAAGCUCUUUUACCCGGGAAGAUAAUGACUGUACCGGGAGAAUAAGCCCCGGCUAACUCCGUGCCAGCAGCCGCGGUAAUAC